rnacentral:rRNA from 1 species
CCUACGGGUCGCAGCAGUGGGGAAUAUUGCACAAUGGGCGCAAGCCUGAUGCAGCCAUGCCGCGUGUAUGAAGAAGGCCUUCGGGUUGUAAAGUACUUUCGGCGGGGAGGAAGGCGAUAAGGUUGGUAACCUUGUCGAUUGACGUUACCCGCAGAAGAAGCACCGGCUAACUCCGAGCCAGCAGUCGCGGUAAUACGGAGGGUGCAAGCGUUAAUCGGAAUUACUGGGCGUAAAGCGCACGCAGGCGGUCUGUCAAGUCGGAUGUGAAAUCCCCGGGCUCAACCUGGGAACUGCAUUCGAAACUGGCAGGCUAGAGUCUUGUAGAGGGGGGGUAGAAUUCCAGGUGUAGCGGUGAAAUGCGUAGAGAUCUGGAGGAAUACCGGUGGCGAAGGCGGCCCCCUGGACAAAGACUGACGCUCAGGUGCGAAAGCGUGGGGAGCAAACAGGAUUAGAUACCCGGGUAGUC